rnacentral:lncRNA from 1 species
CCAGAAAGUUGGUAGGGUAUGGAUACAAACCAAACCAACCUUAUCCUUUUCCUUCCUAUUUUUCUUAUACUUCCUCCGUCCCAAAAUUCUUGUCUUAAAUUUGUCUAGAUACAGAUGUACCUAAUACUAAAACGUGACUUGAUACAUCCGUAUUUAGACAAAUCUAAGACAAGAAUUUUGGAACGGAGGGAGUAUUACUUUUUCUUCUGCACACUUGGUUUGAGUGAGAGAUAAAUUAAAUUCAAGUUAGCGUCAUGUGUUCUGUAGGACAUAGUGUACUUCUUCUGUGGAAUAGAAUGGAACAAUCGACCAAACUGUUUAGACAUACAUGGUAAACAAGCUCUUUAUAUGCAACAUUGUUGAUGCAUAUUGGCGUGCCAAAUCACUUAACCGUUAUUCCUUGUUGGUACUUAUAGCUUGUUUCCAUUGGCUGAAACUAUAAAGGGACUAACAUAGUAAUACGAUUUGUUGGAACUUACAGUCGUU